GCCCAAUGUAAGUCUAUGGGAUAAUUUGUAUUAGUUUUUCUUUAAUAUCUCAAAUACAUAGCAUAAGUGUCCUUUACAAGACCUACGUGACAAAGUUUGAAUGAAGUUUGGACGACCACUACAACUUCUGCAACCACGAUGACACCUGAACUCACAACUCAUACAAGCCAAGUGAGGAGGAAGCAGAUUGUGAGAGUGGAGUUCCAAGUUAACUCCAGCCUGCCCCUUAGCGAUGCUGAAUUUCAGGAGAGGCUCAUGGAUCAGAUCAGAAAGAAACUGCAGGACGGGGGGCUGCCGGCAGACGCCAAACUGACCUGGAAAAAGCAGCCUGAUGGACGAAUUUUCCACAAGAAGAAUGAGAAGAAGGAGAAAAAAGAGAGGAGGAGGAGGAGGAAGAGGAAGAGCAAAGAUGAGUUUUGAAGCUCAAUAAAUCUCAGAGAGCAGGAG
ensembl:lncRNA